UACAGGGGGUGCAAACGUUGCUCGGAAUCAUUGGGCGUAAAGCGCGUGUAGGCGGCUCGAUAAGUCUGCUGUGAAAGUCCAGGGCUCAACCCUGGGAUGCCGGUGGAUACUGUCGAGCUCGAGUCCGGAAGAGGCGAGUGGAAUUCCUGGUGUAGCGGUGAAAUGCGCAGAUAUCAGGAGGAACACCAAUGGCGAAGGCAGCUCGCUGGGACGUGACUGACGCUGAGACGCGAAAGCGUGGGGAGCAAACAGG
rnacentral:rRNA from 1 species